rnacentral:rRNA from 1 species
GGGAAACUCACCAGGUCCAGACAUAAUAAGGAUUGACAGAUUGAUAGCUCUUUCUUGAUUUUAUGGGUGGUGGUGCAUGGCCGUUCUUAGUUCGUGGGGUGACUUGUCUGCUUAAUUGCGCUAACGAACGAGACCUUAACCUGCUAAAUAGAGCCACCUAUCUUCGGAUAAGUGUCGUUCUUCUUAGAGGGACUUUAUGUGUUAUAGCAUGAGGAAGUUUGAGGCUAAAA